rnacentral:rRNA from 1 species
GUGACGAAGCGACGCCGCGUGUGGGAAGAAGGCCUUCGGGUUGUAAACCACUGUCGGGAGUUAGGAAAUGUAAGGGUGUUAAUAGUAUCCUUACUUGACUAAGGCUCCGGAGGAAGCCACGGCUAACUCUGUGCCAGCAGCCGCGGUAAUACAGAGGCGGCAAGCGUUGUUCGGAAUUAUUGGGCGUAAAGAGCACGUAGGCGGCCUUGUAAGUCAGUUGUGAAAGCCUUCUGCUUAACGGAAGAACAGCAGCUGAUACUGCAAGGCUAGAGUGCGGAAGGGGAGAGUGGAACUUCUGGUGGAGCGGUGAAAUGCGUAGAUAUCAGAAGGAACACCGGCGGCGGAGGCGACUCUCUGGUCCGUAACUGACGCUGAGUGUGCGAAAGCUAGGGGAGCAAACGGGAUUAGAUACCCCGGUAGUCCUAGCCGUAAACGAU